ACGGCACGGCACGGCACCCCCUCCAAUAACAGCCACCCGAAACAUGGCUGCGCUUGAAAGCAGCUUUCAUGCUUUCAGAGACGAAUAGCUUGCAAUGGAACCGAUCUCUCACCGGUACCUAUAAAAAAGCUCUCAUGGCCAGCACAGCACAGCAAUUCACCUUGGGCAGGAUCCUGCAGACCACCACAAGGCCAACGGGAUGGGCGAAAUUGCAAUUCUGAAUCUGUUUCUUUUAAAUUUACUCAGUCUGCCAGCCCCCUGCAAGUAACUUCAAGGCUUCAGUGUGAAUUUCUGACUCCUUUUCUACAUGUAAGGCACUGACAUUACAUCAACCUUCAAACAUAUCUCGUGUGUAAACCAAUUAAUUCUUACAGCAAGGCAUCACUUGGUAACCACAAAUCUUAUGCUCUUUUUAUUAUUUUUUCGCCUGAUCUCAGCCAUGACAAAUAAAACUGCAAAACUUG